rnacentral:lncRNA from 1 species
UUUUCUGCAUAGAAAAACACAGCCUUUUUUUUUUCUUCAUCUCGCACAUGCAUAUGCAAUAGAUCGCUCUUGAGAUUCAUGGCGACGUCGAACCACACGAUCGUGCCACGAACCUACCUCCAAAAAACAAAAAAGGAAGAAAGAAAAGAAAGGAUUCUGAAUUUUUUUUCUCGCCAUGAUCCAAGAUCUGCUGCUCCUACUCGGACGUCUACUUGUACUAGGACGUUGGCCAGUCGCUCUCCCGAUCGUCUCUUUCUCCAGGAAAUAUGAAUCUUUUUUGCAUUCAGAUUUCAGAGAGCAUGCAUAUGUAAUAUGCAUGUUUCAGCUUCAGAUUCAGUUUUCAGAAUUCAGACCAAUUGCUACGUAUUUUCUCCAAGUUUCUGGGGCGUGGUGAGGUGCAUGAACACGCAGCAGAAGAGCAAUUAAGCUGGCUGGUUGGUUAAUCUCGUUUUCAUCUGUGUUUUUGUGUGGCUCUGCUAAUAUCUGAUUGCCCUUUUCGUGGUUUAAUUAGGAUGGCAGAGACCUGCGUCACUGUAUGUCGCUGUAGGUUUCCCUUUUUUCCUACUCCACUCUAUUAUGAUUUGUGAACCAUCUGCAAAGCAUGGUUAGCUUCAGAAUUGGGUGUGAUCACUUGGGUCAGUUCUCAAAUUUAAUCCAGCAGCGGCACACGUACACUAUUUGUUAGUU